UACAGAGGAGCCAAGCGUUGUCCGGAUUGACUGGGCGUAAAGCGCACGCAGGCGGCCGCGCGCGUGGGGUGUGAAAUCUGGCCGCUUAACGGCCAGGCGCCAUCCCAUACGGCGCGUCUGGAGUGAUGCAGAGGUCGAUGGAAUUGCCGGUGUAGUGGUGAAAUGCGUAGAGAUCGGCAGGAACACCCAGGGGGAAACCAGUCGACUGGGCAUCUACUGACGCUGAGGUGCGAGAGCGUGGGGAGCGAACCGG
rnacentral:rRNA from 1 species